ACCGGCGCACGGGUGCGUAACGCGUAUACACUUACCCUUCACUGGGGGAUAUCCCGAAGAAAUUCGGAUUAAUACCCCAUAUUAUCGCACGGUUUAAGGGUUACUGUGAAGGACGUGUAUGCGUGACAUUCGAUAGUUGGUGAGGUAACGGCUCACCAAGUCAGCGAUGUCUAGGGGUUCUGAGAGGAUGAUCCCCCACACUGGUACUGAGACACGGACCAGACUCCUACGGGAGGCAGCAGUGAGGAAUAUUGGUCAAUGGGCGAAAGCCUGAACCAGCCAUGCCGCGUGCAGGAAGACGGCCUAUGGGUUGUAAACUGCUUUUAUAUAGGAAGAAACUUUGAGACUUGUCUCGAACUGACGGUACUAUAUGAAUAAGGACCGGCUAACUCCGUGCCAGCAGCCGCGGUAAUACGGAGGGUCCAAGCGUUAUCCGGAAUUAUUGGGUUUAAAGGGUUCGUAGGUGGGCUAUUAAGUCAGAGGUGAAAUCCCACAGCUUAACUGUGGAACUGCCUUUGAUACUGAUAGUCUUGAGUAUACACGAAGUACGCGGAAUAGGUCAUGUAGCGGUGAAAUGCAUAGAUAUGACCUAGAACACCGAUUGCGAACGCAGCUUACUAGAACUAUACUGACACUGAAGAACGAAAGGGUGGGAAGCGAAUAGGCAUAUACGCCCUGGUAGUCCACCCGGC
rnacentral:rRNA from 1 species